rnacentral:misc_RNA from 1 species
UUAAGUUCAGCGGGUAUCCCUACUUGAUCCGAGGUCAAAAGUGUUAAAUUGUUUGAUGGAGGCUAAUGAUUACCAGCUUAAAUCGCAAAUUGUGCUGCGCUUCAAACCAAUACAUUGGCUGCCAAUAACUUUGAGGCGAGUCCAAACGCGAGGAAAGGACAAACACCCAACACCAAGCAAAGCUUGAGAGUACAAAUGAC